rnacentral:rRNA from 1 species
UACAGAGGUGGCAAGCGUUGUUCGGAAUUACUGGGCGUAAAGCGCACGUAGGCGGCUUUGUAAGUUAGAGGUGAAAGCCCAGGGCUCAACCCUGGAAUUGCCUUUAAGACUGCAUCGCUUGAACAUCGGAGAGGUAAGUGGAAUUCCGAGUGUAGAGGUGAAAUUCGUAGAUAUUCGGAAGAACACCAGUGGCGAAGGCGACUUACUGGACGAUUGUUGACGCUGAGGCGCGAAAGCGUGGGGAGCAAACAGG